GGAUUCGACAUUUAAAAAUAUUUCUAAUCGUCUUCAUAGCUUAUUAAAGCUAUAACUUAAAAUAAGUGCAAACAACAUCUUAUCUUUUAUUACAAGAACUAGCGCAAGCCAACCUAAAUUAGCUUUCGCAUAAGUUUCUUGAAUUGUCAGUAAAAAAUUUCUUCGUUAUUUACUGAACUCUCAAAACUCGGAGAAGCACAUUCUAUUAUGUAAAGAACCAAAAAAACAUAUUUCAAAACGUGUGACCUUUUAGAGCUGAUUCUAAAUGGACGUGGGUUCAAGUCCCACCAGCUCCACCA
rnacentral:tmRNA from 15 species